GUUGACAGCAGCUACUGAGAGCUUGUCAUUACUGUAACAGCUAAGGUUAAACAUUAGACUAGAGUAAAAAUGAACGACCAGUGUUCACUUAGUAACAUCGAGAAUCUAAUCUUUCAGCUCGGUCUCCAGCAUCGUGAGCUUUCCCAAAAGAAGAAUGAAAUCAACCAACAAAUUAAAGUUUACAGGGUUGACAUCGCUGAGAGGAGGUCUCACAUUGAAACAAUCCACAAAAAUAUCAAGAAACUUGAGGAGGAAAUCAAAGUGAAGCAGAGCACUGUAAUGCUUUUUAAAGAAAAUGCUAAAAG